rnacentral:lncRNA from 1 species
GGAGUUAGGUUUUGCCUUUAUGGGCAAUGCGCUCAGAUAAGGACCUCAUAGACAAGAAGAAAUUCAGGUCGAAGGUUCUUCGGUUGCCCAUGUUUUAAGGUAUGAGUUCUUUUUUACCCUAACUCCAUUUUUUUUUUAUCUUUUUGAUUUCAAAAAACUACCUCUGUACAGGGGAAGAUGUCAUGCUGUGAUUAUUUCGAAUAGUAUAUAUAAUGAGAAUAUCUACCCCCAUGAAAAGAUGGUGAUUAAUCAGCUCAAGAAAGAAGUGGAUGC